rnacentral:rRNA from 1 species
CCAAUAGCGUAUAUUAAAGUUGUUGCAGUUAAAAAGCUCGUAGUUGAAUUUCGGGAUCAAUAUGUCGGUCGUGCCUCGGUACGUACUGGCGUAAUUGGUUUCUCCCUUCUGAAGAACCUCGAUGUCAUUAAUUUGGUGUCUUGGGGAAUCAGGACUGUUACUUUGAAAAAAUUAGAGUGUUUAAAGCAGGCUCGCGCUUGAAUACAUUAGCAUGGAAUAAUGAAAUAGGACGUUUGAUUCUAUUUUGUUGGUUUCUAGGAUCGACGUAAUGAUUAAUAGGGAUAGUUGGGGGCAUUAGUAUUCAAUUGUCAGAGGUGAAAUUCUUGGAUUUAUUGAAGACUAACUACUGCGAAAGCAUUUGCCUAGGAUGUUUUCAUUAAUCAAGAACGAAAGUUAGGGGAUCGAAGACGAUCAGAUACCGUCGUAGUCUUAACCAUAAACUAUGCCGACUAGGGAUCGGAUGAUGUUGAUUUUUUAAUGACUCAUUCGGCGCCUUACG